rnacentral:rRNA from 1 species
GACGAACGCUGGCGGCGUGCUUAACACAUGCAAGUCGAACGGUGAAGCUCCAGCUUGCUGGAGUGGAUCAGUGGCGAACGGGUGAGUAACACGUGAGCAACCUGCCCCUGACUCUGGAAUAAGCGCUGGAAACGGCGUCUAAUACUGGAUACGAGGAGGGCCCGCAUGGGCACUUUCUGGAAAGUUUUUCGGUUGGGGAUGGGCUCGCGGCCUAUCAGCUUGUUGGUGAGGUAAUGGCUCACCAAGGCGACGACGGGUAGCCGGCCUGAGAGGGCGACCGGCCACACUGGGACUGAGACACGGCCCAGACUCCUACGGGAGGCAGCAGUGGGGAAUAUUGCACAAUGGGCGAAAGCCUGAUGCAGCGACGCCGCGUGAGGGAUGACGGCCUUCGGGUUGUAAACCUCUUUCAGCAGGGAAGAAGCGAAAGUGACGGUACCUGCAGAAGAAGCACCGGCUAACUACGUG